rnacentral:rRNA from 1 species
GACGAACGCUGGCGGCGUGCUUAACACAUGCAAGUCGAACGGAAAGGCCCUGCUUUCGUGGGGUGCUCGAGUGGCGAACGGGUGAGUAACACGUGAGUAACCUGCCCUUGACUUUGGGAUAACUUCAGGAAACUGGGGCUAAUACCGGAUAGGAGCUCCUGCUGCAUGGUGGGGGUUGGAAAGUUUCGGCGGUUGGGGAUGGACUCGCGGCUUAUCAGCUUGUUGGUGGGGUAGUGGCUUACCAAGGCUUUGACGGGUAGCCGGCCUGAGAGGGUGACCGGCCACAUUGGGACUGAGAUACGGCCCAGACUCCUACGGGAGGCAGCAGUGGGGAAUAUUGCACAGUGGGCGGAAGCCUGAUGCAGCAACGCCGCGUGCGGGAUGACGGCCUUCGGGUUGUAAACCGCUUUCGCCUGUGACGAAGCGUGAGUGACGGUAAUGGGUAAAGAAGCACCGGCUAACUACGUG